AGAGAGCAUUUUUGACGCGCUAAUGUUUCCUGCAUUGUUGAAGUCUUGAGACAACUCAGAACUGCUUGACCGGGAGUCUCAUCGACGCUCAAGGGAUAUUAUAAAUGCAAAAUGAGACCCGUUCCUGCCGCGACAAAAAUUGAGAUGAGCUCCAAUGGCUAACCACUAUGCUUUCCCCAUUACUAUAAUUCUUAUUCUUUCAUCCACACCUGCUUAAUUUGAAAAGCCUCUCAGUAUAGGAGGUUAUCAUUAAUUAUCAAGGUAGUUGUGAAACCCAGCACUAUUGGACUAACAUCUGUAAAGGGGGAAUGUCGCUGAGAAUUGCAUCGUACGACUCUAAUCUUCUCCUUCCUAAUGAGUUCUACUACCUGGGGUGGGGAUUAAGGGUCCAAUUGAGGGAUAGUUGAUUUUGACUCUUAAAUUUUGUAAUUGUCUGUGCAAGUUCAUUCCCUGCCUUUAGAGUCCAUGUGAUGCUACAAUUGGGGAGUUUUGCUCUGUAAUCUCGUAUAUCCUAAAGUACAGCGUCUAUUUCCCAGAUGUUGGAACUCGACUUGAUUGCCUCAACCAAAGAUGUGCUUUGAUUGUAGAGGCAGCACCACCCUGAAUCACACCCAUACUGUCUCGAAUGAUCAUCGCCAUUGUACCAGAGUUGGAGCUAUGGGUGAAUGCUGCGUCAACAUUGAUUUUGGUCCAUCCAGGUGAGGGAGCUUUCCAAUGAACUGGACACAUAUUCCCUCUAAUGGUGACGAGGCACAUAUUCUCUUUAAUGGUGAUAGGGUACUCUCACUCUAACAGUCAGCCGAUAUGCUGAGAAAAUUAUGCGCAACAAAGAGACAAUGUCUGGGGUAGAUACCGAACAUGUUGGAUUUGGCUAUAUAACCGACAGAUGAGACUUAUCAGCUACAGGACAGGCGUACAUCAGAUGCAUUUGUAUGUUUUGUUUUGGCUUGCCUAAUUGUUUGACUGCAAUUAACUACUACUUGUCCUAUUUGCUGUAAGUGCUAUCUAUAUAUGUGUUUUUCUUGUCUGUUUUGUUUGUGUUUGUAUCUGAGAAAUCUCUCAUAUGGUGGAGACUUGACGAGGGUUAUUCCACCCGGUGUUUAGGAGAUGUGAAGGAAAUGAAAAGUGAAUAGUUAGAUUAGAACUAGAAUCCCUUAGAUAGAUUCCCGAGAUUUCUGUUUUAGAAACAAAUUUUAAGUUUGAUUCUGAGUGUCGGAGUUCUAGGAAUGCCUCUAGCUUUUCCAGGGCCUUAUAUAUUAUCUAUAUGGGCACAUUUACCAUACUGAGAACCCUUGGUUCCCAUUCCAUAUAUAUUCUGGUGUUUUUCAGAUGCAAAUCAAGAGACACCUCAUUGAGAAUACUGGAUAUCCUUUGGAAGCAAAGAACUAUAUUUGGGCCUUUAUUUUUUGUAUUUAGAUUGUAUAUUUGUAGUUAUGUUCUCCUCUGUAUAUAACUUGUAUGU